rnacentral:rRNA from 1 species
UGGGGAAUUUUGGACAAUGGGCGAAAGCCUGAUCCAGCAAUGCCGCGUGUGUGAAGAAGGCCUUCGGGUUGUAAAGCACUUUUGUCCGGAAAGAAAUGGCUCUGGUGAAUACCUGGGGUCGAUGACGGUACCGGAAGAAUAAGGACCGACUAACUACGUGCCAGCAUCCGCGGUAAUACGUAGGGGCCAAGCGUUAAUCGGAAUUACGUGACGUAAGGCGUGCGCAGGCGGUUGUGCAAGACCGAUGUGAAAUCCCCGAGCUUAACUUGGGAAUUGCAUUGGUGACUGCAGGGCUAGAGUGUGUCAGAGGGGGGUAGAAUUCAACGUGUAGCAGUGAAAUGCGUAGAGAUGUGGAGGAAUACAGAUGGAGAAGGCAGCCCCCUGGGAUAACACUGACGCUCAUGGACGAAAGAGUGGGGAGCGAACAGG